AUGUCAUUUCUAUAGUGAAAGUAGUUCAUGCAUGAGGUCAGGAAGUUCUUUUAUGAUGAUUCAUACUUGUUUUGGGUUUGUACAAAUAGAGUGAUCCAGAGAGGUAGAGAUGAUGACUAUCCUAGAGGCAUGUCACUCCUUACCAGUUAGGGGUCAUCAUUGAGGUAUAUGUACUAUACAUAAAAUAUUGCAAUAUGGAUAUUACCGGUCCACCAUUCACAAAGAUGCCUUUUAUUAUGCAAGGGCAUGCAACCAAUUUCAAAGGCAAGGGAACAUCUCGUGAAGACAUACACUUUUGAUGAAUGUUAUCCUUGAGCUUGGAUCAUUUGAUGUUUCAGGGUAAGGAGCUAGCUGAAGGAGAAGACUCAGGAAAUUAGCAGAAAAAUACCAAACCUAAAACAAAAUUCAAGAUUUCAGAAGACCCGGUAACAGUCAAAAUGGUGGACCACCAACCUGACCACCAGAUUCAGGUUUUCAGAAGACCCACUAGCGAUCAAAGUAGUGGACCACCAAUUUUGCGGUGUACCACCAACCUGACCACCACAUCUAAAUAGAAUUUAGAAUUUCAGAACACUCAACAACGGUCAAAAUGGUGGACUACCAGUUUUGUGGUGGACCACUAACCUAACCACCAGAUUCCGGAUUUCAAAAGACCCACGGGUUGUCAAAAUGGUGGACCACCAACCUGACCACCAGAUCUAAAUAGAUUUUAGGAUUUUAGAAUACUCAAUGACAGUCAAAAUGGUGGACCACUAGUUUUGCAGUGGACCACCAAUUUGACCACAAAUUUGGAUGCAUUUUUUUUUUGAAUUCAAAUUUUAAAUCCUUUUUACCAUGGAACAUAUAAAUACCCAGUUUUAGGUUUUAUUAUGAUUUUUUAUCUUUUAUCUUUUAUGAGAAUUUUCCAUACUUGAAACAUAUUGUAGGUAGUUUUUCUCUAAGAUUCAAUCUAGAAUUGGGGAUCUAGAUUCCAUUAUCCUUUUCUCUAUUGAAGAUUGAAGAACAAGAAUUCUGAAUUUUGUAAAUAAAUUUUGAAUUAAUUUAUGAAUAACACAAUGACUUUUUCUCUUUC